UCAACCUCACACCGAUCUUUCUCGAUCAUAGCAAAGCCUUAUAAGGCUUGCAUAUAAUACAUGAUGGACUUACAAUACUACUCUUGGCCCAUCUCCUUCCAGUUGGUGACAUCUGCCUCCAACUCGAAACAAGACAUAAGGUGACCGCAUACCUCAGGAUUUUGGAGUGCAAGGCUUUAGAUUAUCGGUCAUCCACUUAAUAAUAUUGCAAAAUCCUGGCUUCAUCUUCUU
rnacentral:lncRNA from 1 species